CAGCCCCAGCAGCAUUCUCCCCAGCUUUCUGGGGAGAAGUGGUGGUCACUAUCAGAGAGGAGAAGCUUCUGGGUAGGAAGAAAGGGAGUAAUCAGGCAGCGUUCACCUAUGGCUGCCUCACAGCACGUUCCUGCUGCAGCCAUGAGAGCUUACCCUUCAAAAGCUGGACAUUGGCUUCUCCCCUCAUGUGCAGCUCUACACAUACAGGGCAGAGCAUAACAGUGUCCCAAGAACUGCCAGAAAGGAUAAUGAAAGGUUCAGAACAUGUCCUACAUAAAGACAGGACAAAACACAGAGGGACUUUUCUGCAUGGAAAUGAAGCAGCCAAGAGAUAUGAACUUCCUGAAGAGGGUGAAGCAGUCUGGAGCAGAGCAGUGUGGAAGUAGCAGUGCCACUACAUAAGAUAACAGUUAAAAUUUCAACUAAAAUAAGCUAUGGAUACCUUUGCUCAAAAACUUCAAUCGGGAGAGGUACAGAGAAGGGCCAGUGAAAGUCCAGGGGAAGAUAGCUUGCUGGAUGGAUAAAACACUGGCCUGUUAAGCUCAGUGAAAUGAAAAAUGCAAUAAACCAUGACUUUCUU